UCACUCAUUAAAUGACUGGCUGUUGACCAUACCUAUAGCCAUUUCCAUGUGGUCUGUCCAACAGUCAUCUUCCAUCAUUGCCUCAAUCUGCAAGUAAGUAGAGCAGCCAUUAUUGAUUUUCCUCUCCUAAAUGUAACUUUUAAAUUCCUUGCUGGUAUCCGGUUUCAAGAUUUGUAUCGGUCAGAACAAUGUGCAAUGGCAGAAGCGUACUCCCAGUAAGCUAUUCGUGGAAUAACUCAUCAUAUUUGGAAAUCAGAAUCCCUAUGAAUCCGCACAUUCCACAAAGUUGCAGCCUCGAGAGUCAGUUUAACACUUGAGGAUCAGGGAGUUAGUUCUCCUUCUCAAGUUAAAGAGGCUGUUCAAGUAUAUUUGAGGACGUCCUUGGUUGCGUAGGUGCAGUACAAAGUCGAGAAUGGGUGGUUUCUAGUUCCCAUCCCUUCUUCAUUUACAACCCACCACCAUAUAUCAACUUUGUGAUUGUAAAAAGUUCUGAUAGAGAGGGAGUAAAGAGAACAAUUUUCUUUUGCAUCA